UAACCCCGGGAAACUGGCGAUAAUUCCGGAUACCGCAUAUAUGCUGGAAUGCUUUAUGCGUGAAAUGGAUUCGUCUGCCCAAGGAUGGGUCUGCGGCCUAUCAGGUAGUAGUGGGUGUAAUGUACCUACUAGCCUACGACGGGUACGGGUUGUGAGAGCAAGAGCCCGGAGAUGGAUUCUGAGACAUGAAUCCAGGCCCUACGGCCCGCAGCAGGCGCGAAAACUUUACAAUGCGGGUUUCCGUGAUAAGGGGACACCGAGUGCCAGCAACAUUUGUUGGCUGUCCAGGUGUGUAAACUACACCUGUUAGCAAGGGCCGGGCAAGACCGGUGCCAGCCGCCGCGGUAACACCGGCGGCCCGAGUGGUGAUCGUGAUUAUUGGGUCUAAAGGGUCCGUAGCCGGUUUGGUCAGUCCUCCGGGAAAUCUGACGGCUUAACCGUUAGGCUUUCGGGGGAUACUGCCAGGCUUGGAACCGGGAGAGGUAAGAGGUACUACAGGGGUAGGAGUGAAAUCUUGUAAUCCCUGUGGGACCACCUGUGGCGAAGGCGUCUUACCAGAACGGGUUCGACGGUGAGGGACGAAAGCUGGGGCCACGAACCGGAUUAGAUACCCGGGUAGUCCCAGCCGUAAACGAUGCUCGCUAGGUGUCAGGCAUGGCGCGACCGUGUCUGGUGCCGCAGGGAAGCCGUGAAGCGAGCCACCUGGGAAGUACGGCCGCAAGGCUGAAACUUAAAGGAAUUGGCGGGGGAGCACAACAACGGGUGGAGCCUGCGGUUUAAUUGGACUCAACGCCGGACAACUCACCGGCCCCGACAGCAAUAUGUAGGCCAAGCUGAAGACUUUGCCUGAAUCGCUGAGAGGAGGUGCAUGGCCGUCGCCAGUUCGUACUGUGAAGCAUCCUGUUAAGUCAGGCAACGAGCGAGACCCGUGCCCACUGUUACCAGCAUGG
rnacentral:rRNA from 1 species